rnacentral:rRNA from 1 species
UACAGAAGGACACGCCGCGUGAGGGAGGAGGUCUUUGGAUUGUAAACCUCUUUUCUCAAGGAAGAAGUUCUGACGGUACUUGAGGAAUCAGCCUCGGCUAACUCCGUGCCAGCAGCCGCGGUAAUACGGGGGAGGCAAGCGUUAUCCGGAAUUAUUGGGCGUAAAGCGUCCGCAGGUGGUCAGCCAAGUCUGCUGUCAAAUCAGGUUGCUUAACGACCUAAAGGCGGUGGAAACUGGCAGACUAGAGAGCAGUAGGGGUAGCAGGAAUUCCCAGUGUAGCGGUGAAAUGCGUAGAGAUUGGGAAGAACAUCGGUGGCGAAAGCGUGCUACUGGGCUGUAUCUGACACUCAGGGACGAAAGCUAGGGGAGCGAAAGGGAUUAGAUACCCCCUGUAGUCAUGGGGA